rnacentral:rRNA from 1 species
GUCUAUGGCUGUACCACCCUGAACAAGCCCAACAUCAGAUCUCAGAAGCUAAGCAGGGUCGGGCCUGGUUAGCACUUGGAUGGGAGACCGUGUAGAAAGACCAGGUGCUAUAGGCA